rnacentral:rRNA from 1 species
GAUGAACGCUGGCGGCGUGCUUAACACAUGCAAGUCGAACGAAGCACUUUAUUUGAUUUCCUUCGGGACUGAUUAUUUUGUGACUGAGUGGCGGACGGGUGAGUAACGCGUGGGUAACCUGCCUUGUACAGGGGGAUAACAGUUGGAAACGGCUGCUAAUACCGCAUAAGCGCACAGCAUCGCAUGAUGCAGUGUGAAAAACUCCGGUGGUAUAAGAUGGACCCGCGUUGGAUUAGCUAGUUGGUGAGGUAACGGCCCACCAAGGCGACGAUCCAUAGCCGACCUGAGAGGGUGACCGGCCACAAUGGGACUGAGACACGGCCCAAGCUCCUACGGGAGGCAGCAGUGGGGAAUAUUGCACAAUGGGCGAAAGCCUGAUGCAGCGACGCCGCGUGAGCGAAGAAGUAUUUCGGUAGGUAAAGCUCGAUCAGCAGGGAAGAUAAUGACGGUACCUGACGAAGAAGCACCGGCUAAAUACGUG